rnacentral:ncRNA from 1 species
AUGGGGACUGCGGUCUCCCCAUGAGGCGUCAGCCGAAGCAUCGCGUCCUGAAUGACUUUAUGGGGACGCA